rnacentral:lncRNA from 1 species
AUUCAAAAAAUAAGGUAUUUGAAGAAAAAAAUUGCAUUGCAAUGGAGAAAUGAACAACUACUAUAUUAAAUCACAGAAUGACAUGAAACACAAAAAUCAUGCAACAAAAAGACAGUAGUUGACUGUAGAAAAUAGAGUACUCAAAUAAAAAAAUGAAGCAGAACCAACAGUUUCAUGAUUACAGACUACUAUGAGAAAACCAUCGUACAAACAGAGUGAGCAUUAAAAGUUGCAUUAUCACCAGGACAAAAAAUAAGUGUACUUGUAGAAAUAUACCUUGGAGAUAACCAUCUUUUUCGAAGCAGAAGAAUCCUUAGCUUCAAAUUUGCGCUUGGAAACACAUGAUCCACCUGGCACCGGGACCUAAAAAGAAAGCAAUUAAAGUACAAGAAAAUGCAAAACACCACCCCUAGAACAGAGACAAAUUAAAUUUUUCGCAUAGGGUCUAAAAUAUGCAUACUCAUAAAACUUAGCUUGCAGAUGCAGUUCAGUAGCGACACAAAAACAACCAUACUAUAUUUUGCAUUUUCAGGAAACUAAAUUCGCAAACAGAUAUUCACAUAGAUAUUUGGCUUUUGAACAUGUAGUUUGUACAGCAAACAAUGUAGUUUUGAAAAACCUAAAAAGUUGCAAAAACCUAAAACUUGUAUACCCAUAUUCAGAAAACUAAAAAGUAUAUAAAAGUGAUAGAGAGGCUAAAUUUGUAUUGACAGAACACUAAAAAAUAUCAGUAGCUGUAUAAGAGCGACACAUUGUACAAAAAAAUUAGGUACAAGAUAAGUCAGGACUCACCCAAAUAAGUUCAGUUAGAUUUGCAAAAACCCGCUUGCGAUCUAAAUUUGAACAUUCAAAUAUCUAAAAAUGCAUUUGUUGUUCAAAUAGCAACGUUAUUACUGAAUUUAUUGGUACAUAGAACUAUAGUUGCACUACUUAUUGAGGAGCAAAAUCAAUAAAAGAAGCAAACAUGAGACAUAAAACAGGAUCAACCUCACUAAAAACAUUGCAUGAGUUAAACAAUUUCUGGAGCAAAAAUAUAUUAUGAUUUUGUACCUCUUUCUUGGAUCCACCAGCAACAUUCUUAGAGGCACUGACACCCUUCUUGGAAAUAUCUUCAUGAGCCACCUAGUGAAAAUGGGAAGCAAAAUAUGUAAGAGGACAAAUCAACAACUCAUAAAAAAGCAAAAUUUUAAUGACAACUAAACUUGCAUACACUACAAGCACCUCAUUGCUAGGUUAUCUUGACUUUUUUUGUAGUGCAAAAACUUAUUAUACUACAAAGAUAGAAUAGAAAACCCGCCUAAAUGCAGAAAAUUAAAACAGGCAUACAUUGACUGAAUUUGGAUCUUCACAAAACUAAAAUUGCAGUUUCUGGUGAUGAGCAAAAAUAUAGUACAAGAGAUGCUUGCAUUGUAAACCUAACACCAAGUGAGAAAAUAUAACUUGCAACUUUAAUCUGGACUACAGUUUCACAAACAUGGAGCAUCUUAACUUGUUUGUAGUGCAAAAAAUAUUAUUAGAAUACAAGAUAGAAGAGAAAACUCCCCCUGAUAGCAUAGAAUUAAAACAGAUAUACAAAAGCAACUAAAAUUGCAUCUUGACAAAACUAAAAUUGCAGUUGUUGUUGAGAAGCAAGAUAUAAUACGACCUUUUCCUUGCUGGCAUCAGCAACCUUCCUACCCUUCUUGGAAGCAUCCUCUCGACCCAUCUAAAAUGAAUGAAAAAUUAUAUGAGAGGACAUUUUAACAACUUGGAUAAACAAAAAAUCAAUAAAAAGUUAAACUGGAAGCACUACAAGUCAAUCUUGCACACUAAUUUGUACUAAAAUAAAACUCAAGUUGCACUCUUUCUUACAAGUAUGUUAUCUUGUUUGCACAGAAAUCAAAGACAUGCAUAGUUGUGGUGCUAUCUUUGAACAAUGAAAUUGAAAAAAAAAUCCGAAGAGGUAGAAGGUAACAAUUGAUAAAAAUUUAAUUGCAACCUAACACCAAAGAAAACAUGCAUUCCCAUCAAACUAAACUUCUGUAAAAACUUGUAUGUGCAAUGAGUACUGUUAGCAUACAUUUUUCUCCUGCAACUUCAACCCACUUCAAGACCUUGCAGCAAUGAUUCUGAAGAAAAUGAGGAACUAGAUAGAUGAGAAUAAAAGCAAAAAGGAAGAUGAAGUACAAGAACUGACGGAGCACGGGAUAUACAAAAGCCCUACCUUCAACAGAACGGAUCCUGAGAUGAAGGGAAAGCAAUUUCACAGAGACACAAAGCACAAGAGCAUAUAGAUGGCAUUUAUAUAGGGGAUGGCAAUGGGAGAGUAAAGACUGAGCGCAAGAAGGCCGCAGAGGAAUAGCGGUAAUGGGGGAGUGGGGUAGUGGGUGCAGUUGCUAGUCGGUUCCUUGGAGAACGUGGGAGAAGUGGGUAUAGUGGGUUGCUACGAGGUUGGGGUGCUUAGGUUGCAUGCAACACACAUGGCAUUUCAGGGAAAAGGGAAAACAAAAUGAUUUGUCUGAAAAGAAAACAAAAGCUAUAACAAAUGAGGUGUUGAGCUGUUAAAUUGCAUGCUAGUUGACACAGUGCACUUUCACACUGGAGUGGUGUGUUGUGGCAAAGAUAUGAGGUGUCAACGUGUCAACUAGCAUGAAACACACAUGGCAAUCAAGAGGCAAAAAGACAUAACAAUUCCUUGACGCAAAGAAUGAAAGAACUUGUGCUAAAUAAAAAACGGUAGUUUGUACUUAAAAAAAUUUAAAAGGGAAGAACUGGUGAAAAAUGCAAAAAAAGAAACAAAGAUUUGAUAUAAGAAAGAUAGGUGUAUGUAGGAUCACAAGACAGUUACUGUUGUUUGUUCAAUAUGAUAAUCAAACAACGUAACAUGAUCCAUUGAAAGACGAAAAAAGAAUAGAUAACAAGAAAGUUAUCUAUGAAAAAGGAACUCAAUGAAGAAUCUUCAAAAAUGAAUUUUACAUCCAAGCAUCUUACAAAUAUAACAUCACCACAAUUGACAUGCAGACAUAUCAAAAGCAUUGUACACUUUAGUAAGCGCCACCAGAAAAAUCCACUUGUACAUUGCAGAUUACAUUUCGAAUUAUUCCUAAGAAAAUUCAUAUACAAAUUCAUCAUCUUUAUUACAUGUCUGUAGCUACAAAGCAAGAAAAUGCCUAUGGAUCUUGCAACACCAUUUCGCUUGACUCAAAGCAAACUCCACCACAGCUAUCAUACGUCCAUUUUGCAUCAUGCUUUGAUAUUGAUAUUUAUUGCAUUAUGGGCUGUUAUUACACAUUAUGUCACAAUACGUAUGCCUUUUCUCUCUUAUUUUACAAGGUUUGCAUGAAGAGGAAGAAUGCCGGCAGCUGGAAUUCUAGGCUGGAAAAGGAGCAAAUAUUAGAGACCUAUUCUGCACAACUCCAAAAGUCCUGAAACUCCACGGAAGUUAUUUUUGGAAUUUAUAAAAAAUACUGAGCGAAGAAAAUACCAGAGGGAGGCCCACACCCUGGCCACGAGGGUGGGGAGCGCGCGCCCCUGCCUCGUGGGCCCCCUGGCAGGCCUCCGGUGUCCAUCUUCUACUAUAUGAAGUCUUUUACCCUGGAAAAAAUCAUAAGCAAGCUUGCGGGACAAAACUCCGCCACUACGAGGCGGAACCUUGGCGGAACCAAUCUAGGGCUCUAGCGAAGCUGUUCUGCCGGGGAAACAUCCCUCCGGGAGGGGGAAAUCAUCGCCAUCGUCAUUACCAACGAUCCUCUCGUCGGGAGGGGGUCAAUCUCCAUCAACAUCUUCACCAGCACCAUCUCCUCUCAAACCCUAGUUCAUCUCUUGUAUCCAAUCUUUGUCCCAAAGCCUCAGAUUGGUACCUGUGGGUUGCUAGUAGUGUUGAUUACUCCUUGUAGUUGAUGCUAGUUGGUUUAUUCGGUGGAAGAUUAUAUGUUCAGAUCCUUAAUGCAUAUUAAUACCCCUCUGAUUAUGAACAUGAAUAUGAUUUGUGAGUAGUUACGUUUGUUCAUGAGGACAUGGGAGAAGUCUUACUAUUAGUAGUCAUGUGAAUUUGGUAUUCGUUCGAUAUUUUGAUGAGAUGUAUGUUGUCUCUCCUCUAGUGGUGUCAUGUGAACAUCGACUACAUGACACUUCACCAUUGUUUGGGCCUAGGGGAAGGCAUUGGGAAGUAAUAAGUAGAUGAUGGGUUGCUAGAGUGACAGAAGCUUAAACCCCAAUUUAUGUGUUGCUUCGUAAGGGACUGAUUUGGAUCCAUAUGUUUCAUGCUAUGGGUAGGUUUACCUUAAUACUUCUUUUGUAGUUGCGGAUGCUUGCAAUAAGAGUUAAUCAUAAGUGGGAUGCUUGUCCAAGUAAGGACAGUGCCCAACCACCGGUCCACCCACAUAUCAAAUUAUCAAAGUACCGAACGAGAAUCAUAUGAGCGUGAUGAAAACUAGCUUGACGAUAAUUCUCAUGUGUCCUCGGGAGUGUUUUCCUUCAUAUAAGAAUUUGUCCAGGCUUUUCCUUUGCUAUAAAAAGGAUUGGGCCAUCUUUCUGCACCUUAUUUACUUUUGUUACUUGUUGCUCGUUACCAAUUACCUUAUCACAAAACUAUCUGUUACCGAUAAUUUCAGUGCUUGCAGAGAAGACCUUACUGAAAACCACUUGUCAUUUCCUUCUGCUCCUCGUUGGGUUCGACACUCUUACUUAUCGAAAGGACUAUGAUAGAUCCCCUACACUUAUGGGUCAUCAAGACUCUUUUUUGGCGCCGUUGCCGGGGAGUGAAGCGCCUUUGGUAAGUAGAAAUUGGUAAGGAAAAAUUUAUAUAGUGUGCUGAAAUUUACUGUCACUUGUUACUAUGGAAAGUAAUCCUUUGAGGGGCUUGUUCAGGGUAUCUUCACCCCAUCUAGUAGAGCAAAGAGUUGCUCCUCAACCUACUGAACCUACUAAAAAUGUUUACUUUGAAAUUCCUUCGGGUAUGAUAGAGAAACUGCUAGCUAAUCCCUUUACAAGAGAUGGAACAUUGCAUCCCCAUUUACACCUAAUCUAUGUGGAUGAAGUUUGUGGAUUAUUUAAGCUUGCAGGUAUGCCCGAUGAUGUUAUCAAGAAGAAGGUCUUUCCUUUAUCUUUGAAGGGAGAGGCAUUGACAUGGUAUAGGCUAUGUGAUGAUACAGGAUCAUGGAACUACAAACGAUUGAAAUUGGAAUUUCAUCAGAAGUUUUAUCCAAUGCAUCUUGUUCAUCAUGAUCAUAAUUAUAUAUAUAAUUUUUGGCCUCGCGAAGGAGAAAGCAUCGCUCAAGCUUGGGGGAGGCUUAAGUCAAUGUUAUAUUCAUGCCCCGAUCAUGAGCUCUCAAGAGAAAUAAUUAUUCAAAAAAUUUAUGCUCGGAUUUCUGACAACAAUCGCUCCAUGCUCGAUACUUCUUGUACUGGUUCUUUUAUGAUGAAGACUAUUGAAUUCAGAUGGGAUUUAUUGGAAAGAAUUAAAUGCAACUCUGAAGAUUGGGAUCUCGGCGAAGGGAGUCAAGUUUGAUUGUGUUAAAUCUUUUAUGGAUACUGAUGUUUUCCGUAAGUUUAGCACUAAAUAUGGACUUGACUCUGAGAUAGUAGCUUCUUUCUGUGAAUCAUUUGCUACUCAUGUUGAUCUCCCUAAGGAGAAGUGGUUUAAAUAUCAUCCUCCCAUAGAAGUAAAAGUAGUUGAACCUAUUAAAGUUGAAGAAAAGACUAUCACUUAUAAUGAUCCUAUUGUUCCUACUACUUAUGUUGAAAAACCACCUUUCCUUGUUAGAAUAAAGGAUCAUGCUAAAGCUUCAACUAUUGUCAACAAAAGUAAUAUUAGGACACCUAAACCCCGUGAGCAAAUUAAAGUUGAACCUAAUAUUGCUAUGGUUAAAGAUCUCUUGGCUGAUAAUAUUGAUGGGCAUGUUAUUUACUUCUGUGAUGAAGCUGCUAGAAUUGCUAAACCUGGUGCUAAAGAUAAACAUAGACCUAUUGUAGGCAUGCCUGUUAUUUCUGUUAAAAUAGGAGAUCAUUGUUAUCAUGGCUUAUGUGAUAUGGGUGCUAGUGCUAGUGCAAUACCUCAUUCUUUAUACGAAGAAAUUAUGCAUGAUAUUGCGCCCGCUGAGUUAGAAGAUAUUGAUGUUACAAUUAAGCUUGCCAAUAGAGAUAAUAUAUCACCGAUUGGGAUUGUUAGAGAUGUUGAAGUCUUGUGUGGGAAGGUUAAAUAUCCUGUUGAUUUCCUUGUUCUUGGUUCCCCACAAGAUAGCUUUUGUCCCAUUAUAUUUGGUAGACCCUUCUUGAACACUGUUAAUGCUAGGAUAGACUGCGAAAAGGAUAUUGUUACUAUUGGUCUGGGUGAUAUGUCUCAUGAGUUUAACUUUGCUAAAUUUCGUAGACAACCCCGUGACGAGGAAUUUCCUUGUAAAGAUGAAAUUAUUGGUCUUGCUUCUAUUGUCGUGCCUCCUAAUGAUCCUUUAGAACAAUAUUUGCUUGAUCAUGAAAAUGAUAUGUUUAUGAAUGAAAGAAGAGAAAUAGAUGAGGUAUUCUUUAAACAUGGUCCUAUUUUGAAGCACAGCUUGCCUGUUGAAAUCCUAGGGGAUCCUCCUCCACCCAAGGGUGAUCCCGUGUUUGAGCUUAAACCAUUACCUGAUACUCUUAAAUAUGCUUAUCUUGAUGAAAAGAAGAUAUAUCCUGUUAUUAUUAGUGCUAACCUUUCAGAGAAGGAGGAAGAGAAAUUAUUGAAAACUUUGAAGAAGCACCGAGCUGCUAUUGGAUAUAAUCUUGAUGAUCUUAAGGGCAUUAGUCCCACUCUAUGUCAACCCAAAAUAAAUUUGGAGAAAGACGCCAAACCAGUUAUUGGUCACCAAUGACGGCUAAAUCCUAAGAUGAAAGAGGUGGUAAGAAAGGAAAUAUUGAAGCUCCUUGAGGCACGUAUAAUUUAUCCCGUUGCUGAUAGUCAGUGGGUAAGUCAUGUCCAUUAUGUCCCUAAGAAGGGAGGUAUCACUGUUUUUCCUAAUGAUAAAGAUGAAUUGAUCCCACAAAGAAUUGUUACAGGUUAUAGAAUGGUAAUUGAUUUCCGCAAGUUAAAUAAAGCUACUAAAAAGGAUCAUUACCCUUUACCUUUUAUUGAUCAAAUGCUAGAAAGAUUAUCCAAACAUACACAUUUUUGAUUUCUAGAUGGCUAUUCUGGUUUCUCUCAAAUACAUGUGUCAGCUGAGGAUCAAGAAAAGACCACUUUUACUUGCCCUUUACGAAAGUUUUGCUUAUAAACGCAUGCCUUUUGGUUUAUGUAAAGCACCUGCUACCUUUCAAAGAUGCAUGAUGGCUAUAUUAUCUGACUUUUAUGAAAAGAUUUGUGAGGUUUUCAUGGGUGAUUUCUCCGUUUAUGGAUCCUCUUUUGAGGAUUGCUUGAGCAACCUUGAUCGAGUUUUGCAGAGAUGUGAAGAAACUAAUCUUAUCUUGAAUUGGGAGAAAUGCCACUUUAUGGUUAAUGAAGGCAUUGUCUUGGGGCAUAAGAUUUCUGAAAGAGGUAUUGAAGUUGAUAAAGCUAAGGUUGAUGCUAUUGAAAAGAUGAUGUGUCCCAAGGACAUCCAAGGUAUAAGAAGUUUCCUUGGUCAUGACGGUUUCUAUAGGAGGUUCAUUAAGGACUUCUCAAAAAAUUCUCAGCCUCUGAAUAAUCUAUUACAAAAAGAUAUACCUUUUGUCUUUGAUGAUGAUUGUGUAGAAGCAUUUGAAAUACUUAAGAAAGCUUUGAUUUCUGCACCUAUCGUUCAGCCACCUCAUUGGAAUUUGCCUUUUGAAAUUAUGUGUGAUGCUAGUGAUUAUGUUGUAGGUGCUAUUCUAGGGCAAAGAGUUGAUAAGAAAUUAAAUGUUAUCCAAUAUGUUAGUAAAACUCUAGACAGUGCCCAGAGAAGUUAUGCUACUACUGAAAAAGAAUUUUUAGCAGUUGUAUUUGCUUAUGAUAAGUUCAGACCUUAUAUUGUUGAUUCUAAAGUAACUAUUCACACUGACAUGGUGCUAUUAAAUCUCUUAUGAAAAAGAAAGAUGCUAAACCUAGACUUAUUAGAUGGGUUCCCUUGCUACAAGAAUUUGAUUUGCAUAUUAUUGAUAGAAAGGGAGUUGAGAACCCCGUUGCAGAUAACUUGUCUAGGUUAGAGAAUGUUCUUGAUGACCCACUACCUAUUGAUGAUAGCUUUCCUGAUGAACAAUUAGCUAUCAUAAAUGCUUCUCUUACUGCUCCAUGGUAUGCUGAUUAUGCUAAUUACAUUGUUGCUAAAUUUAUACCACCUAGUUUCACAUACCAGCAAAAGAAAAAGUUUUUCUAUGAUUUAAGACAUUACUUCUGGGAUGACCCACACCUUUAUAAAAGAAGAAGUAGAUGGUGUUAUUAGACUUUGUGUACCUGAGCAUGAACAUGAACAGAUCCUGCGCAAGUGUCACUCGGAGGCUUAUGUAGGACACCACGCUGGAGAUAGAACUGCACAUAAGGUAUUGUAAUCCAGUUUUUAUUGGCCUACUCUCUUCAAAGAUGCCCGUAAGUUUGUCUUGUCUUGUGAUGAAUGUCAAAGAAUUGGUAAUAUUAGUAGACGUCAAGAAAUGCCUAUGAAUUAUUCACUUGUUAUUGAACCAUUUGAUGUUUGGGGCUUUGAUUAUAUGGGACCGUUUCCUUCCUCUAAUGGGUACACACAUAUUUUAGUUGUUGUUGAUUACGUUACUAAGUGGGUAGAAGCUAUUCCAACUAGUAGUGCUGAUCAUAACACUUCUAUUAAAAUGCUUAAAGAAGUUAUUUUUCCGAGGUUUGGAGUCCCUAGAUACUUAAUGACUGAUGGUGGUUCACACUUUAUUCAUGGUGCUUUCUGUAAAAUGCUUGCUAAGUACGAUGUUAAUCAUAGAAUUGCAUCCCCAUACCACCCACAGUCUAGUGGUCAAGUAGAAUUGAGUAAUAGAGAGCUUAAAUUGAUUUUGCAAAAGACUGUUAAUAGAUCUAGAAAGAAUUGGUCCAAAAAACUUGAUGAUGCAUUAUGGGCCUAUAGAACUGCAUAUAAAAAUCCUAUGGGUAUGUCUCCAUAUAAAAUGGUUUAUGGAAAAGCAUGUCACUUACCUCUCGAACUUGAACAUAAGGCAUAUUGGGCUAUUAAAGAGCUCAAUUAUGAUUUCAAACUUGCCGGUGAGAAGAGGUUAUUUGAUAUUAGCUCACUUGAUGAAUGGAGAACCCAGGCCUAUGAGAAUGCCAAACUAUUUAAAGAAAAAGUUAAAAGAUGGAAUGACAAAAGGAUACAAAAGCGUGAGUUUAAUGUAGGUGAUUAUGUUUUUCUAUACAACUCUCGUUUAAGAUUUUUUGCAGGAAAACUUCUCUCUAAAUGGGAAGGCCCUUACGUUAUCGAGGAGGUCUAUCGUUCUGGUGCCAUAAAAAUCAACAACUUCGAAGGCACAAAUCCGAAGGUGGUGAACGUUCAAAGUAUCAAGCAUUAUAUCUCAGGUAAUCACAUAAAUGUUGAAACUAAUGUUAUUGAAACCGUAACCCCGGAGGAAUACAUAAGGGACACUUUCCAGAACGUUUCAGACUCUGAAAAAGAAUAGGUAUGUGGUACGGUAAGUAAACCGACUCCAAAACAGUUCUAAUGGUAAUUUUUCUCCAUUUUGGAAUAUUUAAGAAAAUAGGAAAAUAAGAAGCAGUCCGGGAAGGACACGAGGCUUCCACGAGGGUGGAGGGCGCGGCCCCCUGCCUCGUGGGCACCUCGUGUGCUCUCUGGACUCCGUUUUCUUGCACGUUACUUCUUUUGGUCAGUAAAAAUUCAUUAUAUAAUCUCCCGAAGGUUUUGACCACCGUAUCACGCAAUUAUCCUCUGUUUUUGUUUCGAGCUGUUUUCUGCCAGAUUUGUCAAGGCCAGGCAUCAUGUCGUCCCCCUCCUCCAACAAUGGUGACAACGAUGCUUGGCUAAUGAAGAUGGAGCUGAAGAGAGAAGGUCCCGAGGAGAUCAACAAGGAUGAUGGGAUCAAGAAGGCCAUGGAGGAUCAGGCUCUGGCAGCAGAAGAAGAAGACAUCCUUCCACCUCUCUUUACCCCGACUGAGAUUGAAGCUUUCAAGAUGAUUGAGUUAGCUCGUAUACAAAACAAGUAUCUCACACGUGAAAAUAUUUUGUUGAAGGAGCAUAUCGUCUCACUCAAGGGCAUCAUUCGCAAGUUGGAGGAUCUCUUACGCUCGAUGUGCGACUAUCCAUCAUCACCACAAUCUUCUCCACCUUCGAGGAAGGAGACAUGAUCACAUGGGUAUGGGCACUCCCCUUGGCAACUGCCAAGGUUGGGGGAGGUGCCCAGUAUCGUAUCACCAUCACACUCCUAUCUUUACCGUUUUUCUUAGUUCGAUCCUUUUGGUAAUAUCUUGAUCUAGUAGAAUAAAGUUUUAGUAUGAUCUAGUUUUCAGUUUUGCUUUAUGAUCCUUCUAUGUAAUCGAGUCUGUGAGCUAUAUAUAAUAAAGAUUAGUGUUGAGUCAAGGGCUUGAUUAUCUUGCUAUGAUCUUGAGUGAAUAAAAGAAAGAGAAUUAAAUAAAAAGAAAUAAAGAGAUCAUAUUUAUCUUAUGGAAAGUUGUUGAGAGUUGUUGAGAGUUGACAAACAUAGUUUUGAUCAUCAUUGCAAUUAAUAGGAAGUAAUAAAGAAAGAGAGGUUUCACAUAUAAAUAUAAUAUCUUGGACAUCUUUUAUAAUUGUGAGCACUCAUUAAAAUAUGACAUGCUAAAGAGUUGAUGUUGGACAAGGAAGACAACGUAAUGGUUAUGUUUUCUUAUAUCCGAAAUAAAGUAUAUUGUCAUGGAUCAUCCAACAUGUUGAGAUUGCCUUUCCCCCUCAUGCUAGCCAAUUCUUUGCACCAAGUAGAGAUACUACUUGUGCUUCCAAAUACCCUUAAACCCAGUUUUGCCAUGAGAGUCCACCAUAUCUACCUGUGGAUUGAGUAAGAUCCUUCAAGUAAGUUGUCAUUGUGCAGGCAAUAAAAAUUGCUCUCUAAAUAUGUAUGAUUUAUUAGUGUGGGAGAAAAUAAGCUUUAUACGAUCUUGUGAUGUAGAAGCAAUAAAAGCGACGGACUGCAUAAUAAAGGUCUAUAUCACAAGUGGCAAUAUAAAGUGACGUUCUUUCGCAUUAAGAUUUUGUGCAUCCAACAUAAAAGCACAUGACAACCUCUGCUUCGCUCUGCGAAGGGCCUAUCUUUUACUUUUAUUUUCUACCUUAUGCAAGAGUCAUGGUGAUCUUCACCUUUCCUUUUUAUAUUUUAUCCUUUGGCAAGCACAUUGUGUUGGAAAGAUCCUGAUAUAUAUAUCUAAUUGGAUGUAAGUUAGCAUGAACUAUUAUUGUUGACAUUACCCCUGAGGUAAAAGGUUGGGAGGCAACACUAUAAGCCCCUAUCUUUCUCUGUGUCUGAUUAAAACUCCAUAACCAUAAGUAUUGCGUGAGUGUUAGCAAUUGUGAAAGACUAGAUGAUAGUUGAGUAUGUGGACUUACUAAAAAGCUCUUAUAUUGACUCUUUCAUAUGUUAUGAUAAAUUGCAAUUGCUUCAAUGACCGAGAUUAUAGUUUGUUAGUUUUCAAUGGAGUUUCUGAUUCAUACUUGACAUUGUCAAUAGAUUGUUACUUUGUCUUAAGAAUUCAUAUGACAGUAUUCAUAUAUGUUGCUGUUAUAAAAAUGAUCAUGAUGCCCUCAUGUCCGUAUUUUAUUUUAUCGACACCUCUAUCUCUAAACAUGUGGACAUAUUUUUCGAUAUCGGCUUCCGCUUGAGGAGAAGCGAGGUCUAAGCUUGGGGGAGUUGAUACGUCCAUUUUGCAUCAUGCUUUGAUAUUGAUAUUUAUUGCAUUAUGGGCUGUUAUUACACAUUAUGUCUCAAUAAUUAUGCCUUUUCUCUCUUAUUUUACAAGGUUUGCAUGAAGAGGGAGAAUGCCGGCAGUUGGAAUUCUGGGCUGGAAAAGGAGAAAAUAUUAGAGACCUAUUCUGCACAACUCCAAAAGUCCUGAAACUCCACGGAAGUUAUUUUUGGAAUUUAUAAAAAAUACUGAGGGAAGAAAAUACCAGAGAGGGCCCACACCCUGGCCACGAGGGUGGGGGCGCGCCCCUGCCUCGUGGGCCCCCUGGCAGGCCUCCGGUGUUCAUCUUCUACUAUAUGAAGUCUUUUACCCUGGAAAAAAUCAUAAGCAAGCUUGCGGGACAAAACUCCGCCACCACGAGGCGGAACCUUGACGGAACCAAUCUAGGGCUCUAGCGAAGCUGUUCUGCCGGGGAAACAUCCCUCCGGGAGGGGGAAAUCAUCGCCAUCGUCAUUACCAACGAUCCUCUCGUCGGGAGGGGGUCAAUCUCCAUCAACAUCUUCACCAGCACCAUCUCCUCUCAAACCCUAGUUCAUCUCUUGUAUCCAAUCUUUGUCCCAAAGCCUCAGAUUGGUACAUGUGGGUUGCUAGUAGUGUUGAUUACUCCUUGUAGUUGAUGCUAGUUGGUUUAUUCGGUGGAAGAUUAUAUGUUCAGAUCCUUAAUGCAUAUUAAUACCCCUCUGAUUAUGAACAUGAAUAUGAUUUGUGAGUAGUUACGUUUGUUCAUGAGGACAUGGGAGAAGUCUUACUAUUAGUAGUCAUGUGAAUUUGGUAUUCGUUCGAUAUUUUGAUGAGAUGUAUGUUGUCUCUCCUCUAGUGGUGUCAUGAAACAUCGACUACAUGACACUUCACCAUUGUUUGGGCCUAGGGGAAGGCAUUGGGAAGUAAUAAGUAGAUGAUGGGUUGCUAGAGUGACAGAAGCUUAAACCCCAAUUUAUGUGUUGCUUCGUAAGGGGCUGAUUUGGAUCCAUAUGUUUCAUGCUAUGGGUAGGUUUACCUUAAUACUUCUUUUGUAGUUGCGGAUGCUUGCAAUAAGAGUUAAUCAUAAGUGGGAUGCUUGUCCAAGUAAGACAGCGCCCAAGCACCGGUCCACCCACAUAUCAAAUUAUCAAAGUACCGAACGCGAAUCAUAUGAGCGUGAUGAAAACUAGCUUGACGAUAAUUCUCAUGUGUCCUCGGGAGUGUUUUCCUUCAUAUAAGAAUUUGUCCAGGCUUUUCCUUUACUAUAAAAAGGAUUGGGCCAUCUUUCUGCACCUUAUUUACUUUUGUUACUUGUUGCUCGUUACCAAUUACCUUAUCACAAAACUAUCUGUUACCGAUAAUUUCAGUGCUUGCAGAGAAGACCUUACUGAAAACCACUUGUCAUUUCCUUCUGCUCCUCGUUGGGUUCGACACUCUUACUUAUCGAAAGGACUACGAUAGAUCCCCUACACUUGUGAGUCAUUAAGCUACAGCCUUCAUUAUUGCUUCUUCUCCAUUACCAACCUGAAUGAUGCAGAAAGAAUUCCAAUGAACAUUCAAAUAAUGAAGAAAAAUGCAAAAAAAAACUAAACUAUGAUUGAACAACAUAAUCAUUAUAAAAAGAUAAGAAAAAUCUUACUCAUAAGGGUACUAGAACUCAAGAACCAACUUCUUAUGGUCAUUCAGGAUAUUGUGAUUAGUGAACAUCAUUUCAUUUGCCAUUCUAAUUCGGAUGUUUGCAAUAUCUUCAUCCUUCAGAAUAUCAUGCAUCAGUACCCCAGGCUUCCAAUGCUUUAGAAAGAGUGCCGUAUAUAUGCCACAAUCAAACCUACAAAAAUAAAAAACCAAUUGAAACAGAAGAGACAUCAGAGAAAAUAUGCAUUAAUUUGGUAUGAGCAGCAUGGGGAAAAAGUUAAGCAGCAAACUAGAAUUCAUAUGCAAAAGAAAAAAGAAAAACAACUUACUCAUUACUUUGUUUAGGUACAUCGAUAAAGUGCGUGGUCCAAUUUCUCCAGUUCAGAUUUCUUGAGCUCCCAUACAUAUUCCAAACUCUUUUGAAAUUUGGUAUCUGGAGGAAGUACACAGAUACCAAAGGCAAGUCAUAGAACUAACACAAAAAUUGAGUGUAAAAAAGAUGACAACAUCAUCAAAUUAUAGGGGGAAAAAGAGGGGGAAACAGCUAAAUUUACCAGAAUAUUGAACACGUGCUGGUGAAAAUCACUGUCUGCAUCGAAUGCUGAGUCCAGAAUUACAAACAUUUCAUGCUUAAACAAGACAACAAAAUCGAACCAAUGCUUGCUAUGCAAAGUUGGAAAGUGGACCUACAAAAAAGCCAAAAAUAUAGAAUAGUCAUCAAGAUGAAUCAAAAAUACAUUAUAGAAGAAUGUGCAAACCAACUAAACUAGCAUGCUGAAAAUACUAAAAAGUUGUGCAUUCAGAUGCUCAAUGAUGAGAUGAUCACUUCUCUAGGAAAGAAUACAAAAGUAAAGAUCAAUGAGUGCAACAAAAAGGACUGUUUGCACAAUUUUGGUAAAAAAAUACACACAAGAAAAAACAUUUUCAUCAUCAUGGGACUAAGAGUUGCACACUUUAUGAACAGCAAAGAAUCAUCAAAAACUUCUUGAUAUAUUUGGUUCAGUAAAAAAGCAUCGCAAACAAGAAAGAGUUAGAAUUAAAAAUGCACACAUUUUACUGUAUUUACCUCAUCACAUGAAUGGAUUAGUCUAGCACCGUUUGCUAGCUGGAAGCAUCUCUGAACCAUACUGAACUUCUGAUCAUACAAUUCCUGAGUUUCAUAUGAGUCCAUGAAAAGUAGAUGUUCGUUGUGGACAAAACAGUUAGUAAAUUUUCACAAACUAAAACAGUAAUACAAAAUGAAUAAAAAAUAGAAACAUAGAAAAAAUGUAAUUGAACUCACAGAAAUAAGGUGAAAAAAUGGUGAACUUUCGAGUCCUUUGGCUUGGUAUCUAAUGACAACUUGCGACACCAAGCAUUAAUAGUAUACGUGUCAACAAGGCCCUUUGUUGCAAAAGAAGUCCCAAUAGAAAAGUAUGUUACUAUAACUUUACCAUAGUAGAUGCACGUUUUGCUGCAAAACAAAAAAGAUAAGAACAGAGUCAAACUACACGAAAACAAUAACUUGAAAGCGCACUCAAAACACACGUGAAAAAGAACAUGCAUUAAUGAAGGAGCAUUUACUAUUUGUAAUUUUCAUCAAGCGACAGAGUGACAAUAGCAUCAUGUAAUUAAAUCAUUCUCGUGGUAACAGGGUAUCUCAAUGAUUUCUGAUUGACAUAAGGAGAAGCAUUGUAUUUGCUAGGGUUUUAGAAUCCUCUUUGGUCCAUAUCUAGUGACCUCUCUUCCAGAUUUACUAGCAGACUGAGUGUUGAUUUUCUCAUUAUAAAUCAUAUCAGAAAUAGAUAUGAAGUUGUUCAAUCUGUCAUCUUUCAUGACUUCAUAUAAGAUCUCAACAUCAGGAGACUUCGGAGGGCUAGACUGUCCACCAAAAUCUAAAUCAAUCUGACAUAAAAGAAAAAAGAGCAAACAAUAACAAGAAAUCACUACGGAUAGUAUGUAUAUAAAAUUAAACAAACAUAUAAAUAGUUGCUAAAAAAAUAAGAAGUGAGAAUAAAAAUAACAAACCUUAGUGACAGGAACAGCAGGCUGAGAAGUUUCACCUAAAAAAUCAGCGCAAUUUGCAGAAUUUUGACGUGCCCAUUGCCUUGGUGUGCCAUCAGACUUCUACAAAAAAAGAUAUUUAUUAAAAACAAAUAAAUCAAACUAACUAAAGAAAAUAAAUAAGUGAUUUGCAAAAAUUUAAUUUGCUAAAGGUGAGUACAUGAAUCGCAGAAAUACCUGAGUGAAAGAACUAUUUGUCACAGGACUAGACACAGGAGUAAAAGGGAUUGUUUGUAUGUGAAUAGGAGUUUGAUAUUGGGAACCCUGUUUCAAAACAUGAAAAAUAAAAAAUAUUACAUUGAAUACAAAAAUGCAAAAUCUAUAUCCAAUUGGAGACAUAACACAAAGAAGAUAUGAAAAAAGAGGCUUGCAUCAUGAAAAUCUGUAAGCAGGUGCGAUGUUUGCAGCAGUGCACAAAUGAACAAAAAAGUAGGAAAAUAAAAAAGAAUGUAACAAUAAAGUCACCUCAUGACGCAUUUGAAAAUGUCCUUGACUUGAUGCCAUGAUUUGAUCGUUAAAUGAUUUUUGAGAUGAGUUGUCCAAACAUUCACCUGCCAAAAAAAUUCAGCACCUUACAAAUCAUGCAGAAUACAUUUUCAUGAAAUUCAGAAAAAUUGAACUGUGUGUAGAAAAACAGUAACACAACGCCAAAACAAAUACCAUUCAUUGGAGAUUUCAACUUCAGCUUCUCAGGGAAAAAAGAUUUAUUCUUAACACUCAUGACCUUGUUCAGCGUGGUCUGUGUAGAAGUCCCUUUUGAAUUAGUUCGAACUGGAGGAUCUGUAUUCACAAGAUGCUUGAAACUGAUGCUUUUUCCCUUGUCAAUAGAUUCGUUGAUCAGGGUGGACUUUGGUGGAAUAAGCUUUUUCAUUAGUUCAGAAACAGACUCGAGUUGCUUCUCAACUUGACUAAAAUCAAGCUUCCUUCCUUCCUCCUAGAUGCAGAAAAAUAACUUGUCAAAAGCAGCUUGCAUAAAAAUCAAGCUAAUAAAGUUUGAUAAAGAGAAUCUAAAACUAAACCUGAAUGCUGAAAAUACUAAAAUUGCACAUCCAUCAAACUAAACUUGCACACAUUUUACAACAACAAAACUCAUAAUAACUUUGUGUUUUUCGUAAUUUAGUGUUUACUAGAAGUAUGUCACUAGGGGUAGAUACAUCAGGAAGCAAAACUCAAAAAUUAAACACAAUGUUUACUAGAACAACAGCAAGCAAUCAUGAAUGGUAUGAAAAAAGGUUUACUAGAACAUGGAUACAUUAAAACUGCUAAAAAGGCAUUUUUCUUAGAAAGAUUAUAGGAAAAGCUAAGUCAAAUCAGAAUAAAAAGUACAACAACAAAAACUAAUACAUAAAACUUGAAUGCUUAAAAAUACUAGACUUGCACACACUUUAUAACAAGGUGAUACGAUAUAGAAUCAUAUAAUAAACUUGCAUACUCAAAAUACUAAACUUGCACUUUCUUCAUUCUAAAAGUUGCGCAUAUUUUACAACAGCAAGUCUGUAAUGAAAGCAUUUAACAUCAAGAACAGAACUAUUAAAACACAUACAGAUGCACCGGAAUUGCAUGAAUUACAUAAAUAUAGAUUGCUCAGCAAACUCUACGUAAAGGGCAAAAGCUAAAGUACACACACUAGAAGUAAAACUUGCACGAGAAGUUAAAAUGCAUAAAUAUAAACUUGCACUGGUUGUACUGCUAGUUGUUAAACUACAAGCAAGGGCAGAACACCUCCCUAACUGCAGAAUUUAAGUAUUCCACAUAGGAUCUACAUUGGCCUACUCGGAUAACUAAGCUUGCAGUCCUCAAAUUCAAUUUAUAUAUCUAAGUAAAAUUCAAUUUAUAACUCACAAUUAGAACUUUAUCUACACAAUCAGGCCUUUGCAUCUUAUGAGGUCUUGGAUUAACACAGAACGUAUCUUGUCCAUUAACUGAGAAACAGCUUUCCUUUUGCUCCCUAAACUUGUACCUAAUGACAUAGGAAAAAAUAAGGAAGAAAAACCAGCAGGUAUAUAUUUCUGAUUAAACCAAAAAUUGCUCGAAAUGAAGAUGAUGAAAUUCUUCACAAAACAAAAGGACACCUGCAGUAUCAUGGAAAUCCACAUUUGCAUUGGAAACAUUUGAAGAACGUUGAACAAGUGGAGAUACAUUAGAAUUGGAAGUACGAUCAUUGCAUCCUAAAUAUAAAAAAUACACAAACAUCGAAUCAGGAUGGAAAAAGAGUAAACAUACAUUUUCAUUAAAUGAAUCUGAAAACUCAAAAAUUGAAGCACUGAGUACGUAGAACAUUACCAUGGCUCCUGAGCACAGAUUUAUCACUGUUUGCCAUGCUAUUGCUUAUAUUUCUUCUUGAAUUCGUGUCAGAUUGAUUUGGCUCAACGUCUGAAGCACUAGCUAAUACAAUGCAAUUCAGCGAAUCUAGAAGCAUAUUCUGAGCUCCUUUGAUAGACUUUUCAUCAGCAGUUUGACGAAAACGCCUAGCUAGCAAAGAUAAUUGGUCUUUAACCUGAACGUAAAAUGAACAAAACACUAUGAAAACAUUGAAUUCACUUGCAUAAAACGAAAAAACGGAUAAAUGAUAAAAAAUUCAAAAUUUGUGACAAGAACAAAAAUAUGUACCGAGGAAGGUAGUAAACCACCAACAGUUUUGUCAAGUGCAGAUCUAAACUUCACAGAUUCAUGUGUAGAAUCUUGAUGUAAAUGACAACAACCAAUGCAACCCAUGGAAUAGACUGUUUGAGAUAUCAACUUCACCUGUUAAUGAACAGAAUUAAAAAAAUCAGUACUCCUCAGAAAAAACAUUAGAAAGAAACUUAAAAACAGAUAAAAAAUUAAAUAAAAAGAAAUAGAAAACAUACAGGACGUAAGCCAUAUUCCCUUGGACCUUUGCAAUCCAAAUUCGCAAACUCUUUCACUAGUGAAUUUUUCCAGGCUUUUACUCUUGGAAUUCCAGGAGGCACUCAGCGUAACCCAAAAUCCAGAAAAUCUAAGUAAUAGCACUACAUAGAAAAUAGCACGACAUUAAGAAAUAACAUUACAAACUCAAAUCACGAAAAACACCUUCUAGUAAAAAAGAACAACAACAUAAAAAAUAACUUACACAAAGCCCAUAAAUGCAGCCACCCAGUGUAGUUAAUUCGUCCUCUUUUGUAGGUUUCUUUGGCUCUUUUUGAUAUUUCCUUAUGUAUGACAUAAGCCAAUCAAAAACAAACUUUGAUAAAUCAUAGUUAGUAACUUGAGUUGGAUCAAUAAGAAUUCCUAGGUAUUUUUUUUUUUUGGGGGUAGAUAUUUGAGUUGGGGCACAGAACGGUUGCAAAGGCAACUAGAAGAAAACAUCUCAUAAAAUCAAUGUCAGAUAUAUCAGGCUUAAGCAUUCUCAACCCAAACCACUUGAUAGAAGGCACUGUAGGUUCACCAAUAAUAUUGAGGAAAGUUGCUUUUGCAACCUCACUGUGAAAUAAAACUGAGGUGCCACCUAAUGGAAGACCAAGCAGUAGAUGAAAUGAUUCAGGGCUCAUUGGAGUGACUUUACUGUCGAGAACUAUGUCACCAGCAGGUGGAUUUACUUUCCCUGCUAUCCAUUGUGCAAAACCUCUUGGUACUGAAUUGCACUCAAAAUCAAGAAUAAAAGAGCAACCAUAAUUUUUUAUGACAUCUAAUCUUGAUGGUGGAAUUUUCUUGAGCAGAUCACUGAAAUAGCCAUGAUUACACCUGCUCGUUGCCUUCUUUGUAGGAAGUGGGGCACGCUGACCAAAAAAAUAAAAAAAACUCAAAAACAACAACUAAAAACAUAGCGUCAAUAUGAAACUAAAAACAUAGAUUAAUCGGCAUAAUUGUUAUUGACUCAGAAUCUAUAUAAUGUUUACUGUCCAAAAGAUUAGAGAACUGUUGUUCGCACUAAGUAUGUGGGAAAAAAAUAGAUGUGUUUCAUUUGAUACAAGCAAAACAAAAACAAAACAAAACUACUUGAGUACAAUCGGUAUCCUUGGGACACUGAUGAACUUGAUUCGACUCUAAUGUAAAAAGUUGGCAAACAUUUGCAACACUCUCAAAUUACAUUUAGUGUCAGACUCCUAAUCAAAAAGUGUUGAGCGAAAAAAAAACAUUUGCAUUAUUUAUUAAUCAUCAACAUCACAUGGCACAUGUAAAAAACAAAAUGACUGUAAUUUAUCAAAAUUAAUGACUGAAAAUACAACGCAUAAGGGGAAUAUCUGUUGGGACACCUGUAAUUUUAAAAGCUGAAGUGUGGAAAACCUAAAAAGCCUGACCUGUCAUGCACACUCACAUAAGACCUAUUGCAUCUAAGAAUGGUUCUAAGCAAAAGGAAAAAAUUUGCAAAACAGCAAAUAAAAUCAUCAUAUUUAGUUACUAACUACCAAAAAGACUCUAUCAACAUGAACACGGAUAAAAUGAUUGAACAUAUUCUACAACACAGAAAACUAUGAAAGCUUGUAUACUCAUAUAUAUAGUACUAAAAAAGGCAGAAUGAUGAGCUAAAAUGACAGUAAAUAUGAAUAAAUCAAAAUGUAUAUUCAUAUAAAUGGAGGAAAAAGUUGCUAUGAGAAAGACUUACGCAGAGAUUCUUAGAAGAAUUGGCAUUGUCAUUUGAUGAGUAAAACUGUUAGGAAUCACAAAAGCAAAAGGUAUUAGUAAGUUAUGAAAACACAAAACAAAAAUCAAAAGUACUAAAAAACAAGUUUAACUUAGAAAUAUGAAAAUUCUGCAUAUUCAAAAUUACCAAGAUCUAUAUACACAUAAUAUACAAACUCAAAGUUAUAACAAGGAAAUUACCAAAUUUCGCAAGUUGUUCAGGAAAUUUUUGACAUCAAACUGUGGGUCUCCACCACCUACCUGGAAACCAGUAGAAAAGAUUUUUGGUUAUGCCACUUUCACAAGAAAUGACAUCACUAGAAACUGUGAACCUUCUAGUCGAAAACAUAAACAUUUAGAACAAUGAGAACAUACAUCAAGAAACUGAGUUUGUCCUUCUUUAAACUGGCUUUGCGAAGCAAAGGUUUCAUCUAGAUCAUCGUCGCAGUACAUCCCUUUGUUGUCUUCCGAAUCAUUGGUGUCACUAGCCAUUUUCUGCAUACACAAAAAAAACAUUGGCUUAGAAAAUAUUGUAACAACUAAAUGAUCUCAAACAAUAAGCAUAGAAGGAAAAACAGGUACUUGUAUUAGAAUACAGUAAUUUAGAGGACUGAAAUCAUCAGUAGACAAAAUGAAACUCAUGAAGACAAAACCAUAGAGGUUGCAUCUGGAAAAAAACACCCACAUGAACUCAAGUUUAGCUAUGAUAUUUGAGGUCAAAUUAAUGACUAAUUGCAACUACAAAAUAGCAGGCAUUAGACAUGAACAGAAGCACACACGUCCUUCAUAUCAAUGCAUCUGACAUCACAUAUAAAAAGCAUGACUAUGAUCUUAGUAGCCCUGUGCAAACCAAAUCUAAGCAGCUAAACAAUCUGACAUGACACAUGAAAAACUGACAGUACAGCAAUGAAAACAUUGCACAUGCCUGAUAGAAACAACAUCUCCUCUGAGUUCAUUAAGCACAGGGCAAAUCCACACCAACAAAAUUUGGAAGCUACUGGUUGAAACUAUGGAUUUCAAGCUGUAUUCUAUAGAGACGCAACUAAAAACACCAGGCAUUAGAUUUCAAAGUGGGCUGCACUCAGGCCACCAAGUGAAACAAAAUUGAAAUUCAGAAACAAUUGCGCAUCUAAACAGCAGCGCAAUUCAGGAGCACCUGCGAGAACCACGCUAAACAUCUCAAUCUAACAGAUCACGCUAAACAUCUCAAUCUAACAGAUCACGUAGUCAAUCAUGCAAUCCUAGGGUUUGGAGAAAGGGAUCCGGAAAUUCAACACGAGGGGAAAAGGCAUACGGGGAGAAUGAACCUGAGAUAGAUGCAGAAGGAGGCGCGCUCUCAGAUGGUGUGAGCAGAGCACCAAUUUGCCGGAGCACUGGCGCAGCAACGGUGGUCACGUCGCCGGAGAGGAAGGAGAGGAGAGGACAACGCGCCCGAGGAGAGGAGCACCCCCACAGAAAGGGAACGGACUUCUGAUUUUUGAAAUAAUGAUGAUGUCACCACUCACGCAAGUCAUCCGUUGCGCAACUCAUCAGUCACGGAAGGCCCAGUCAUGCACGCUCAGAAAAGAAGAACAAACUUAAAAGAAAAAAAGAACGAAUCUCAAAGCACUGAAUAAACGGCCUGCUUUCAAAACUGAUGCAACGAGACUCUUUGGCUAAUGAUUUUCACAUAUGGAAAAUGCACGAAUCACACAGCAUCAAUGAUAUUCACAUAUAGGAAAAACCAUAGAUGCUUCAGAAAACAUUCACAUAAAAAUAAAAUAGGGAAAAAAGAUAAAACUUAAGAAAUUUUGAAGCAUUAGUUCCAUUAGGCAAAACCAUUUUUAAACACUUUUAAAAACAUUUGAGAUGAUGAAACACUCAACACACAUUUAACUUUAGAAAAAACGAAUGAAAAAAUGUACAGAAGUAAAUUUAGUGAUACUGGUGAACAGAAAUCAAUAUGACACCAAAGAGAAAAAAUAAAACUAUAUGAUCGGCAAGGAAAAAUGUCAAUCAUAUUAAAGUAGACUCAUCAGGGGUAAAAAAUCAUUUCAUAGAUAAAAAGGAAAAAAAUCAAACAAUUUAUCAGGUGACUUUGAACCAACAAUUGAUAUGAUCUAUGAAAUGAAAAGAUCAAUCAAAGAAUUUGUUGAUCACCCAGGAAAAAAAUGAAAAAUUCAAACUCACAAAACAAACUACAAAAAGAUAUAAAUAAAUUCAAAAAUAUCAAACAGAAAAGAUUACAGCAAACACACACAACCACAAAAAUAACAUUAAAACAUUCGCAAAAGUAUGAUAACCGUUGAAUCAUAAGACAUAGUUCAGAUAGCACGAACGAUAAGCAUACUUUUCUUCAGACCUCAACUUAAACUACAGGUUAACCACCCAAACUUUUCAUCAGUAUUCAACUUAACUACGGAUAGCUUAAAGUAUCUACUACAUACAUCCAAAAGGUAACACAAUCCAACAUAUAAGCCACCACAAAGUUAUAGCCUGCAAACGAAAGAACCGAGUACAGCCACUUCUUUCCCAAAAUAAACUUGUAUCAUUGUUUUCAUCUAGAGAAGCCACUGGAAGACAAUUGAAAUUGAACAGUCAUAAGUUGACUCAUUGAAGGUGAUGAGCACAACAUUGUCAUUUGCAUAUGAAGUGGCUGAGAUGAACUCGCUGAAACUGGUCUUCUCGAUCACCAUCCUCCCAUGUUGCUUGCACAGCUUGAAAGAUGAUGGCAUGAUAACAUGUGUAUCACCCAG